rnacentral:rRNA from 1 species
AGAGUUUGAUCCUGGCUCAGAACGAACGCUGGCGGCGUGCCUAAUACAUGCAAGUCGAACGAGAAAGUGGGGCAACCCAUUAGUAAAGUGGCAGACGGGUGAGUAAUACAUAGGUAAUCUACCUCCAAGAUGGGGAUAACCUUCCGAAAGGAGGGCUAAUACCGAAUGAGACCACGGCUACUGCGGCAGCUGAGGUUAAAGCUGGCCUCUACUUGUAAGCUAGCACUUGGAGAUGAGCUUAUGCACCAUUAGCCUGUUGGUAGGGUAACGGCCUACCAAAGCUAUGAUGGUUAGCUGAUCUGAGAGGUUGAUCAGCCACACUGGAACUGAGACACGGUCCAGACUCCUACGGGAGGCAGCAGUAGGGAAUAUUGCGCAAUGGAGGAAACUCUGACGCAGCGACGCCGCGUGGGUGAUGAAGGUCUUCGGAUCGUAAAGCCCUGUCGGAAGGGACGAAAAAUAGCGUGGCUAACAUCCAUGCUACUUGACGGUACCUUCAAAGGAAGCACCGGCUAACUACGUGCCAGCAGCCGCGGUAAUACGUAGGGUGCUAGCGUUGUUCGGAAUCAUUGGGCGUAAAGCGCGUGCAGGCUGUUAAUUAAGUCGGGUGUGAAAUCCCUGGGCUCAACCGAGGAAGUGCAUCCGAAACUAAUUAGCUAGAGAGUGGUAGAGGAAGGUGGAAUUCCUAGUGUAGAGGUGAAAUUCGUAGAUAUUAGGAGGAAUACCGGUGGCGAAGGCGGCCUUCUGGACCAUUUCUGACGCUGAGACGCGAAAGCGUGGGGAGCAAACAGGAUUAGAUACCCUAGUAGUCC